rnacentral:rRNA from 1 species
AAAAAAGCUUGCUUUGAUCAUCUUAGUGGCGGACGGGUGAGUAACACGUGAGCAACCUGCCUUUCAGAGGGGGAUAACGUUUGGAAACGAACGCUAAUACCGCAUAACGUAUACGAAUGGCAUCGUCUGUAUACCAAAGGAGCAAUCCGCUGAAAGAUGGGCUCGCGUCCGAUUAGCUAGAUGGUGAGGUAACGGCCCACCAUGGCGACGAUCGGUAGCCGGACUGAGAGGUUGACCGGCCACAUUGGGACUGAGACACGGCCCAGACUCC